rnacentral:rRNA from 1 species
GACGAACGCUGGCGGCGUGCUUAACACAUGCAAGUCGAACGGAAAGGCCCUGCUUUUGUGGGGUGCUCGAGUGGCGAACGGGUGAGUAACACGUGAGUAACCUGCCCUUGACUUUGGGAUAACUUCAGGAAACUGGGGCUAAUACCGGAUAGGAGCUCCUGCUGCAUGGUGGGGGUUGGAAAGUUUCGGCGGUUGGGGAUGGACUCGCGGCUUAUCAGCUUGUUGGUGGAGUAGUGGCUUACCAAGGCUUUGACGGGUAGCCGGCCUGAGAGGGUGAACGGCCACAUUGGGACUGAGAUACGGCCCAGACUCCUACGGGAGGCAGCAGUGGGGAAUAUUGCACAAUGGGCGGAAGCCUGAUGCAGCAACGCCGCGUGCGGGAUGACGGCCUUCGAGUUGUAAACCGCUUUCGCCGGUGACGAAGAGUGAGUGACGGUAAUGGGUAAAGAAGCACCGGCUAACUACGUG